UACAGAGGUCUCGAGCGUUGUUCGGAUUCAUUGGGCGUAAAGGGCGCGUAGGCGGCGGGGUAAGUCUGGUGUGAAAUCUCGGAGCUCAACUCCGAAAUUGCACUGGAUACUGCUCUGCUAGAGGGCUGGAGAGGAGAUCGGAAUUCACGGUGUAGCAGUGAAAUGCGUAGAUAUCGUGAGGAAGACCAGUGGCGAAGGCGGAUCUCUGGACCGGUUCUGACGCUGAGGCGCGAAAGCGUGGGUAGCAAACAGG
rnacentral:rRNA from 1 species